GGUUUCUUAGUGAGUAAAAACUAGAUUACAAGUUCCAGGCAAGAAAGCAAAACACCUGUGAUCACCGACUUGCAGAAAUUGAUUUUUAGGAAAAUAAUAAUGACACUUGAACAUUCAAAAGAGAAUUUACACACUCCCUGAGAAAACCUCAAACACGAUGUAUCAUCCUAUUAGUUAUAAUUAAAAACUGCUGAGACACUUCUCUUGUGCAAAUUCCAAAAUCAAGGCUCAGACAAUCUUGCAGAAGUUCAGACUUCCAGCUUGUUUUCCUUUACUCUAGAUCUUAAACUACUGCCAUUAUUUAAGCUAAUUACUUAUACUGAAUGAAAACAAGCUGGUACAUGCUUAGCCAAAGAAAAAGAUAUUCAGUCUAGUUAAAAAUAUCUUCACACUGAGUUGUCGAACCUCUCUAAUCAUUCUAAUACCCAAAUUAACAAAAAAAAAAAAAAGACAAAGAAUUUCAAUAUACAGUGAAAUAUUUUCUAAACUUAAGGCUUGUAUGACCCAUUUUCAUGCUAAAUUGCAUGUUUGAAAAAUCACUUUUAAGUAAACGGCCAUCUUUAAAAAAAUGGCAACAGGUGUCAUAUUCAAAUGUUCAAGCAAAAGAAGGCACAAAAUCCCACUACGAACAGCCAAGCAUUUGCAAAGUUUUGACCCCCUUUUAAAAAAUGGAUAGAUUUUAAUUUCAGCGUCGUCUUAAUCGAGUUCAAAGUAACAGGAAAAUGCAAAGCUCAUGGCCACCCAAAAUGAUUCUGUACAUAGCUAAUAGCACAUAAGAAAAAUUUCCAUCCAAACUUUAAAACGUAAGCUUAUAUGAAAAUGUGUCAAUCACGUUAUGUUAUUCAAAUUCUUUUAUGAAACAAAAGAGCAAUUUUGGGCACCAGAUGAUAUAGUCUCAUUGGCCGGUGAUUACUUCAAAUGGAGCUAUUCCUAUUACCCACCGAACUGAAGGAAUAGAAGGGCUAUUAGCUACUGAAUUCUCACACUCCUUCCUUCAUAAGGUUAAAUUGACCUCUUGGAGAGUUUGACAACUCACUUCCACAAAAGAAAAGUUGAAAAGAUAUGAAUGAAAAGUGAUGAUGGUGAUGGAGAGACAGAGAUAAAAGAAGAGAAGAGAGGUGGUGACCACCAGAAUUUGCCAUUAUUCGGUGGUCUAAUCGUUGGUCGGCAGUCAAAGGAGGGUAGCCAUGGAUAGACGGUAAAUUUAGUUGUGUUGGAACGAUGGAAAAAGGGGGAAAAGGUAUC
rnacentral:lncRNA from 1 species